rnacentral:rRNA from 1 species
CCUACGGGUGGCAGCAGUGAGGAAUCUUGGUCAAUGGCCGGAAGGCUGAACCAGCCAAGCCGCGUGAGGGAGGAAGGCGCAGAGCGUCGCAGACCUCUUUUGCCGGGGGACAAAAGGCCGGACUCGUCCGGUCCUGAGGUUACCCGGAGAACAAGCAUCGGCUAACUCCGUGCCAGCAGCCGGGGUAAUACGGAGGAUGCGAGCGUUCUCCGGAGUCAGUGGGGUUAAGGGGUGCCCAGGCGGGCCAUUAAGCCGGCGGUGACAUCGAGGGGCUCAACCCCGCCGAGCCGUCGGAACUGGGGGCCUUGAGUGCGGCGGAGGCGUGCGGAAUGCGCGGUGUAGCGGUGAAAUGCAUAGAUAUCGCGCAGAACCCCGAUUGCGAAGGCAGCGUGCCGUGCCGCCACUGACGCUGAGGCACGAAAGCGCGGGGAUCGAACAGGAUUAGAUACCCGAGUAGUC